UUUUUUUUUUUUUUAAUUUUAAGAGAUGGGAUUUCACUGUAUCGCCCAGGCUGGAGAGUGCAGUGGCAUAAAUCAUAGCUCACUACAGUCUUAAACUGCUGGGUUCAAGCCAUCCUCCUACCUCAGCUUCCUGAGUAGAUGAAACUGCAAGCACAUACCAUCAUGCUCAGCUACUUAAAAAAAAAAUUUUGUUGCAGACAGGGUUGUGCUCUGUUGCCCAGGUUGGUCUCAAACUCCUGGCCUCAAUCAAUCCUCCCAAAGUGCUGAGAUUACAGGCAUGAAAGACCCUUUUGAUCACACCUGAAUUUACGCUAAUCAGAUGACUAAGGGUAGGACCCCUAGAUAGCUUCAGGAUGGAACUGAUCACCAGAAAGAUCAAGUGAUUAGAAGGUUGGAAUUUUCAGCCCCACUCACUGACCUCUGGGGUGUGGGGGUGGGGUGGAGAUUGAGCUUUAUAAAAACUCUUGAACAACAAGAUUCCAUGAGUUUCCAGAUUGGUGAACAUAUUGAUGUGCUGGGAGAGUGGGCACCUGGAGAGGGCAUGGAGGCUUUAUACCACCCCUACAGCUAGCCCUGUACACCUCUUCUAUUUGGCUGUUUCUGAGUGGCAGUCUUGUGGGACCGGGCCCUUAACCUGUGGGCUCUGAUACUAACUCCAGGACUUAGUGUCAGAAUUGAAUUAAAUUUGGGGACACUUAAUUGGUGUUGAAGAAUUGAAUAGAGAAUUGUUAUAGGAAACCCACAUACCUUUGGUGGCAGAAUUACCCAUUUCUUAUAUUCCAGGUUUUUCCCUUUUUUUUUUUUUUUGGUUUUUGGAUUAUCUGUUCACUUUUCUAGAGCAUAUCCUUCCUGAGAAAAGAAUGGAUGUGUACAUUUUGAGUCCUUCUAUGUCUGUAUUCUGUCUUCAAAUGUGACUGCAAAUUUGACUGAAUUGAGUAGAGUUGCCGCAUAUGGUUGUAAAGAUUAUGCACUGCAAAACCCUAGGGGGUCAUUUUUAUUCAAAGUGUUUUAAAAAUGCGAACCAAAACCGAAAAGCUCUAGGGGAUGUCAUUCACUGCAUGUUGGUUUGGAUUGAAUAUUACUUUCCAGAAUUUUGAAGGCAUUUUCUCAUUUCUUCUAGCUUGCAAUGAUAAUGUUAAAAAGCCUGACGUCACUGUGAUCGUCUUCUUUUCCUCUUCUUUCAAUGUGUACUGUUUUCUUCAUCUCCCUUCACCCACUUCCAUGCCUCUCUCUCCUUUUUCUCCACAAACUUAAAAAAAGAUUCUCUUUAUCUCUAGCGUUCCAAGAUUUCACAACAAGGUAACUUGGUGUGGGCAUUUUCUCAACUUUUCGCAUGGACUCUGUUGGUACUUUCAAUCUGAAGACUAAUAUUCUUCCAUUCUGGGAGAUUUUCUUCAAUUAAUUUUUGGUAGUUUCCUCCCCUCAGUUCUCUCUGUGGCCUUCUCUAAAUCUUCUAUUAGUUACAAAGUGAGCCUCUUAGACUUAAUCUCCUCUUCUUUUUGUUAAUAGUUUCUCCUGUCUUUUAUCUCUUUAUGUUUUUUAUUUCCUAAACUUCCUCAACUUCCAACUCUAUUUAAAUUUUUAAUUUCAGUAACAUUUAACAUAUUUAAAUGACUAGAAAAAAUUUUAAAAAUGUUUUGAAUUAACUAAUUUAUUUACAGAAACAUCAAUUCUUUUUUAAUUUUUAUUUUAAAUUGUAAAUUGACAAAUUAUAAUUGUAUAUAUUUAUGGGGUACAGGAUGUUAUGAUUUAUGAAUACAAUGUGGAAUAAUGGAAUCCAGCUAAUUGUCAUAUCCAUCACCUCAAAUACUUAUUUUUGUGGUGAGAACAUUUGGAAUUUACUCCCUUAGCAAUUUCUUCUUUAGUUUUAUUUUGUUUUUAAUUGACAUAACAAUCAUAUGUACUUAAGGAGUAUACUGUUUCAAUGCAUGUAUACAUUGUGUAAUGAUCAAAUCAGGGUAAUUAGCAAAUUCCUCACCUCAAACAUUAUCAUUUCAUUGUGGUGAAAACAUUAAAAAUCCUCUCUUCUAGCUAUUUUGAAAUAUACAUUAUCACUAACUAUAGUCGUCCUACUGUGCAAUAGAACAACAGAACUUGUUCCUCCUAUCUAAGUGUAGCUUACUUUGUACCUGUUGACCAACCGUUUAUCUCUAUCUCCCCUGCCGCUCUGCUUUCUCCAACCUCUGGCAACCAGUAUUCUACUCCCUACUUCUAUGACAUCAAUUUUUUAAAAUUCCUCAUAUGAAUGAGAUAAUGUGGUAUUUGUCCUAUGCUCGGUUUAUUUCACUUAACAUAGUGUCUCUAGGUUUAUUCAUGUUGUUGCAAAUGACAAGAUUUCAUUAUUUUUUAUGGCUGAAUAUUAUUCCAUUGUGCAUAUAUAUAUAUGUAUGUAUGUAUAUAUAUAUGUAUGUAUCACAUUUUAAAAAAUCCAUUCAUCCAUUGAUGACACCUAGGUUGAUUUCAUAUUUUGGCUACUGUGAAAAGUGCAGCAAUAAGCAUGGGAGUGCAGACAUCUCUUCCACAUAUUGAUUUCAAAUAUUUUGGAUAAAUAUCUAGAAAUGGAAUUGCUGGAUCAAGAAAUUUCUUUAUUUCUUUCCCAUAGUUAUCCUGUUUUUGCUUAAUGGCUACAAUAUACUUAUAUAUUUUAAUUCUCUGAGGAUAUUUAGUAUAGCAUUUUUUUAAAGUUGUCUUUGCUUCCUCUGGGUUCCUAUUUUCUGUUUGUUUAUUUUGAUCUCUCAUAUGUUAAAUGAUUCCUAAAGAAUAUGUUGAUCUUUGGCCAUCUUUCCAUGUUAAAGGCUCUAAAAUUUUAUAAGUUCUGGCCUGUGGACAGGACUUGCCAAAUAGUGGAUGAUCUGGUAAUAUAUCAGCCUUUUAAGUCAGUCUAUGGAGGUAUUUUCUCUAAAACCUUUCAGUAUUAUUUUUUGUUUUUCAACUUUUUACCUAGGAAGAACAUACCAAACUACUGGUGCUCUGGAAGGGAUAGAGAAAGGAAUCUGGGGGUCCCAAAGUCCAGUAUUAGUCCAGUAUUUAGAAUUUCAUUAAUCCCCCUGCGUGCAACCCUUUAUUUCACCUUCACUCUCUAUCACUUACAGUGUGUUUAAGACCUACUCCUCUGGUUCAGUCUCUCCAGAAAUAAGCCACGAUUGCCUGACUAGGGAUAGUCACCGAUGCACAGGAGAGGAAACAGGGGUCUAACCUCUUUGUAUACUAGCAGAUCCCUCUGGUUUCAGUGCCAUGUUUUAAUCCAUGGUGUCAUUCAUACUUGAGCCCUUCAGGUAUUCUGUAGCAAAAACAGGUUCAUUUCUUGAAUUUCAGCUAGUCUAUAGCUGAGAUCACUUUGCUUAAAUGAAUGACUUAUUUUACAAUGACCUGUGAUCUGAUUUUGUAAUAUCACACGUUUUAAACCUUUGAUAUUUGACAAACCUUCCAAAAUCAAAUUAUAAAUCAUGUCUUUUUCUGACCUAAUUAAUCCUUUAAGAUAUUAGUAACAGGUUCCCUAAAGUCCAAAAAUGACAUAUUUGCCUUAUUUGGUAUAAAAAUUAUACAGGAAGCAUUGUCAAAUAUGAAAUGGUGUUUGGUUUUCUUUGGGCUGUAUUUGUAUAAAUAUGUUAUUGGUAUGUGUUCCAAAAUUAUGGGAAACUCCUAUAAUUCUGAUAUGACUUAAUAUAUGUUAUCAGUAAUAAUUAUAAUUGUUAUGUUACAUUAUUGUAUGCCACAGAGGUAACAAAUUUCCUUGUCAAAGUGCCUUUGACUAUAGCUGCCCUAAAACUUUUUGCCAUCCAUGGACAAUUGUUAUCUUGGUUUGAUCGGUUUUAUAAUCAGCUAUAAAAUGCUAACAGGUGCUUUUUAAUGCAGGUUUCUGAUAACUUUGGAGAUUGUGACAUCAGGAUAAAAGAAAACUUUCAGGACUCAUGGAGAGCUGAAAUGUUCAUGAAUGUCAAAUAGAACAGGAAUUAACUGCAUGGACUAAACUAACAGAAGUCCAAACUUUUAAUGAAUGAGUAUACUCCUAUGAACAACAUUUGGAUCAUAUUUGUUUCUCUCUGAUUUCCACAGAAUUUGGAAACUAUUUGAAUCAAACUGACUUAUGGAGCCAAUCAAAGCCCCUUGGAAAAACUGGCCUCAUACCUUUGUCUACAGAGUUCCUGACCUGUGAGUUUAUAGUUGACAUACGCAAAAGGAUUGGAUUAAUAGAAGGUACUUCACAAUUACCUCACAACUCUCAGAAGACAAAAGGAAUAUGACAAUGGACUCAUCAUUUUCAGAUGGAGUCUCGCACUGUCACUGCAAUGGCGCGACCUCGGCUCACUGCAACCUCUGCCUCCUGCAUUCAAGCGAUUCUCCCA